GACGAACGCUGGCGGCGUGCUUAACACAUGCAAGUCGAACGGAAAGGCCCUGCUUUUGUGGUGUGCUCGAGUGGCGAACGGGUGAGUAACACGUGAGUAACCUGCCCUUGACUUUGGGAUAACUUCAGGAAACUGGGGCUAAUACCGGAUAGGAGCUCCUGCUGCAUGGUGGGGGUUGGAAAGUUUCGGCGGUUGGGGAUGGACUCGCGGCUUAUCAGCUUGUUGGUGGGGUAGUGGCUUACCAAGGCUUUGACGGGUAGCCGGCCUGAGAGGGUGACCGGCCCCAUUGGGCCUGAGAUACGGCCCAGACUCCUACGGGAGGAAGCAGUGGGGAAUAUUGCACAAUGGGCGGAAGCCUGAUGCAGCAACGCCGCGUGCGGGAUGACGGCAUUCGGGUUGUAAACCGCUUUCGCCUGUGACGAAGAGUGAGUGACGGUAAUGGGUAAAGAAGCAACGGCUAACUACGUG
rnacentral:rRNA from 1 species